rnacentral:lncRNA from 1 species
CGCGUCCCAAGGUUCCGGGUGGACGUGGGCUGCGGGUGCUCUCACCCCGGGCCAGUUGCUCCUCCUGGCUCUCCUGGCAGCCACAGCAGCUCACCAGGAAACGUCUCUGCGUCCCUGAGGGCCCCGUCCUGCCUCCUGGGAGAACCUUGGAAACCAGAGGCUCUUGGGACGCUGUUUGACUGCUCUCGAGUUUCCUGCAUGAUGGGAAACCCCAGGGAAGGGAGCAGGGGAGGAGUCAACUGGGAGCGGGGCCAGAGAAGCAGUGAGAGAAGUCUGGACCAGCAGGCGGAGAGUGGUGCCACGUGCCCCCGCAGGUGCGGAGGAGAGCGCGGCCUGGAAAGGCCUUGGGUUUGGCAGGAAGGAGACUGAGGAUUGCCAAGAGGACGGCGGGGAGAGGUCACGGCGUGAGUUGUGGUCUUCAGUAAUUUGAACCGGAAGGCAGAAGACAGAGAACUUGGGAAGGAGCAGUCUUGGUUACCCUGCUUAGGCGGAGAGGGUAUUGGGUGCCUAAAAACCUCAGGUCAAGGCAGGCGUGAAACCAAAGGCCCUCACUCCAUCUCUCUCUGAGUGACCACAGGAGUCUCCUGACUGUCUUCCUGCCGUCUCGGGACAGCCACUGUCCACUCAGCUACCAGAGCCAUUUUGGAAAGCAUGGAUCCUGCAGUGUUCCUUCACUGGUCAAGACCUUCCAACACCAUGGGCGUCCUUACUGGUCCUCCAAGUUCAACCUCAGCAUUCCUGGAUUAGAAUCCCUGGGACACUGGAUAAAAACAGAUUCCUGGGCCCCAAGUCAACCUACAGGAUCAGCACCUCUGGGGAGAUGGGAAGCGGCAUUUUCACACAGCCCCUCCCAGGGCUUUGCAUGGCUUGUCCCUCCAGAUCUCACAGCCCGUGCUACUUCGCCCCCUCAAGGCCUCCGCUCCCCGCCCCCUCCUCAGAUCACCGGAUCAAAAACGCUUCCUGUCGUCACUUGCUCU